AGCAGCCACAGUAAUUCCAGCUCCAAUAACGUAUAUUAAAGUUGUUGCAGUUAAAAAGCUCGUAGUUAAAUUUCAGGAUCAGACUGUUGGUCGUGCUUCGGUACGCACUGGCAUUAUUAGUUCCUACCUUCUGAAGAAUCGCGAUGGUCAUUAAUUUGGUGUCAUAAGGAAUCAGAACUGUUACUUUGAAAAAUUAGAGUGUUUAAAGCAGGCGCACGCUUGAAUACAUUAGCAUGGAAUAAUGAAAUAGGACGUUUGAUUCUAUUUUGUUAGUUUCUAGGAUCGAUGUAAUGAUUAAUAAGGAUAGUUGGGGGCAUUAGUAUUUAAUUGUCAGAGGUGAAAUUCUUGGAUUUAUUGAAGACUAACUACUGCGAAAGCAUUUGCCAAGGAUGUUUUCAUUAAUCAAAGUAACGAAAGUUAGGGAAUCGAAGACGAUCAGAUACCGUUGUAGUCUUAACCAUAAACUAUGCUGACUAGGGAUCAGAUGAUGUUAAUUUUUUAAUGUA
rnacentral:rRNA from 1 species